rnacentral:rRNA from 1 species
AUCACGACAGGGAUACCCGCUGAACUU